AACAAACGCUGGCGGCGUGCCUAAUACAUGCAAGUCGAACGGGGAAAGCUUUCGGGUGAGUACUAGUGGCGCACGGGUGGGGAACGCGUGGAUAAUCUGCCUUAGAGUGGGGGAUAACUAGUCGAAAGAUUAGCUAAUACCGCAUAAGACCACGAGAGCUGCGGCUUUUGAGGUCAAAGGUUUUUCGCUCUAAGAUGAGUCCGCGUAAGAUUAGCUAGUUGGUGAGGUAACGGCUCACCAAGGCGACGAUCUUUAACUGGUCUGAGAGGAUGAUCAGUCACACUGGAACUGAGACACGGUCCAGACUCCUACGGGAGGCAGCAGUAGGGAAUAUUGCACAAUGGAGGAAACUCUGAUGCAGCGACGCCGCGUGAGUGAUGAAGGCCUUCGGGUCGUAAAGCUCUGUCGCAGGGGAAUAACACAAUGAAGGUACCCUGUAAGAAAGGAUCGGCUAACUUCGUG
rnacentral:rRNA from 1 species